rnacentral:rRNA from 1 species
AACGAACGCUGGCGGCAGGCUUAACACAUGCAAGUCGAACGCCCCGCAAGGGGCGUGGCAGACGGGUGAGUAACGCGUGGGAACAUACCCUUUUCUACGGAAUAGCUCUGGGAAACUGGAAUUAAUACCGUAUACCCCCUACGGGGGAAAGAUUUAUCGGGGAAGGAUUGGCCCGCGUUGGAUUAGCUAGUUGGUGGGGUAAAGGCCUACCAAGGCGACGAUCCAUAGCUGGUCUGAGAGGAUGAUCAGCCACAUUGGGACUGAGACACGGCCCAAACUCCUACGGGAGGCAGCAGUGGGGAAUAUUGGACAAUGGGCGCAAGCCUGAUCCAGCCAUGCCGCGUGAGUGAUGAAGGCCUUAGGGUUGUAAAGCUCUUUCACCGAUGAAGAUAAUGACGGUAGUCGGAGAAGAAGCCCCGGCUAACUUCGUG